UACGUAGGGUGCGAGCGUUGUCCGGAAUUACUGGGCGUAAAGAGCUCGUAGGUGGUUUGUCGCGUUGUCCGUGAAAAACUCACAGCUUAACUGUGGGCGUGCGGGCGAUACGGGCAGACUGGAGUACUGCAGGGGAGACUGGAAGUUCCUGGUGUAGCGGUGGAAUGCGCAGAUAUCAGGAGGAACACCGGUGGCGAAGGGCGGGGUCUCUGGGCAGUAACUGACGCUGAGGAGCGAAAGCGUGGGGAGCGAACAGG
rnacentral:rRNA from 1 species